AAUUUCCUGCUUAGUUCGUGAUAUUCUGAGUAAUUAAACCCACACCUUACAAAUGGAGUCCGGCCUUCCGUUGAAGGGUAUGCAGACCUCCCCUUCUCCCCUGCUUAUGUCACGGGAACAAGGGACGCUGGGAGCACAAAACAUCGGAGAGGACACCAACCUGCUUAUGCAGGGUUUUAAAUUCUCGUUUACACGGCUCGGCGGGGUUUUU
rnacentral:other from 1 species